AAAACCCCUAAAUUCUAAACAUAGAGAUUAAAAUACUAAUAUUUUUAAAGAAAAAAAGAGAAAGAAAUAGGAUGCCUGACUGGAUACAGAAUUGGGAUUCGUGAGGGGUGGCUGACUUCAGGCAUAGCUGGAUCCAGGAUGUUAGACAAGGCUACUGGAACCGCCCCCCUCUCCCUCCCUGCUCUGUUUUCCUUGUGAAGCAUUACUCUCAGGUAGAUUGUUUCUCCAGCUGAACAAAGAUGGCCAUUAUAAUGCCAGGCAUAAAAUAACUUUUUUAAAUAAAAUUCUAACCCCCCUACAGGACUCAGGUUGGUGGCCUGUAUCAUGUGACCAUCACUGUCUACUCAGGGUCUCAGAGGCUAGGUGAUGCUGAUUGGCUGACCUGGGUCAUGUGACCAUCCCUAGCUAGUCAGGGUCUCAGAGACUGGGUGAUGCUGAUUGGCUAGCCUGGGUCAUGUGCUUAUCCCUAGCUAGUCAGGGUCUCAGGGGCUGGGUGAUGCAGAUUGGCUGGCCUAGGUCAUGUGACCAUCCCUAGCUAGUCAGGGUCUCAGGGGCUGGGUGAUGCUGAUUGGUUGGCCUGGGUCAUGUGCCCAUCCCUAGCUAGUCAGGGUCUCAGAGGCUGGGUGAUGCUGAUUGGCUGGGCUGGGUCACACUUACACUCCCAUCAGAAUCACUGGACUGGGGAGAGGAUCAUUUUCAGAGGAAAUCUGGGGAACAAAAGGUGGUCCUGCAGACCCCACACAUGCCUCCUACAUGUGAUCAUUCCAGGGGUGGCCAGUGAGGGCUCCCAUGUAGAAGUAUUUACAAGGGUAAGAGCUUGCUCAGAGGCCUUGGGGCUCCACCUGCCAGCCUCUUCCUUUGGAGCAAAACACUGUGGCUGCCAGGACCUGCGUCUCAGAAAACCCCAGGAAACUUCAAAGGGGCCUGUCCACCUCACCAGCUUUGAUCUCAGAAGGGGACUUGCUAAGAAGCAUGAUCAAAAGGAAAAUGGACGGUUCCAGAAAUGAGCAACAAAACAUGCUCCUGUCUUGCUCACCUGGACAUCGUAAGGACAAGAAGUGGAGGCUGCCAUGGAGCCAGGCUGGGGUCUGUGGAUACAAGAAUACUAUGAGGCUGGUGCUGACCCGAGGGCAUCAGGACCACAGCCUGGAUGGAGGUGCAGGAAAGAGAGGCCGUCUUAGUUCGUGACCUGGACAUGUCCUUGGAAGCACCCUUGUCCCACCUCCCUCCUUAGUGUGUGUGUGUGUGUGUGGGGGUGUGGCUUCACUGGGAAGGACCUGUCACCUCUGCCCAGGGAGGCCUGGACCCUUGCAUGCCUUCCAGGCCCUGGUUGCAUGGGCAGCGUCUGCUCCCACCCAGCCGAUCCAAACUCUUCGUGUGAAUUCUGCCUCUUAGUGGAUGCCCACUAACAGACAGGUGACCCGUCUGGUCUGUCCAGCAUCCUCUGAGGGAGCGUAAGGAAGCAGAAACCCAGAGAAGGACAGCGACUUGAGGUGGCUCCCGCGUGGGUCCCUCGACGCCCCACCCCACCCCCGAUGGCUGCUCACCUGUGUACAGGGGCCCCUCCUGGAACCGAAUCCUGGUGCUGGAGAAGUGAAAGUGCAGGGAGCUCGGCACUGGGCCCACUCACACCUGAUCCUUGGCCGUGGCUGCCCCCGCGACUCUUGCCUCUGCUCCUGCUGAACCCAGUCUCCCUGUGACCUCAGGUCACCUCCGUCCAUCAGCAUCAGACCCGAGUGGGUCCCCACCGCGAGGCUCUGCAGCCUCCCAGUGUCCAUCUCAUUCAGGGCUCAUCCAGCCUGCCCCUCGCAGUGUCUCCCAUCCAGGCCACCGUGGGCGGGGCCAGACUCAUGCACUUCCGUGGGUCCCUUGUGGACCCAAGCCCAGUUCUGGGGCGUGGGAACAAGGCACUGCCACAGGGCAUGUCUGGGCACGGUGUGGGCCUGGGGUCAGAAGAAACUGGGGCCUCGGUCAAGACCACUGAGAAUGCCCAGACAGUGACGUCAGCACGUCCACCGGCAGGUCCUUCUGGGAGCGGCCAAGUGACCACACAGGAGGCGAGCCGUGGAUGCUCAGCUGCAGGGGGGGCCUUCUGCCUCACACUGGGGCCCAACUCGGGGGCCUCCCUCCCAGCCCGCAUCCCGGCAGCGCCCCACCACCACCCCGCCCACCUUCUUGGGACGCUUUCAUUUAUGCGUCCUGAACAGAAGUGUGAAUUCACACCACUCGGGUCACUGACUCACCCAAGUGCUGUUAGCUGCUAAUUAUAAUCAAAUCUUUGAUGAGCUGUAUUUCUUACCUUCUUAAUUAAAAUAAUGAUGAUUAAUGGAGUGGAGGGCAUCUAGCUCUGCAGUUAUCCCAGACAGUUCUACGGAGCUCACGCCCAGUUCCGGGGCAAGCCCCGGCUGAGUGAGCAGUCAGGGUCCAGCUGACCUAGAAUUUCUGGUCACCCACUGCUCACUGCUCCAGAGCCAUCCCACCAUCCUGGGGCGGGGGUGGGGGGGGCGCUGGAUCCAGGCUGAGGGGAGAGGACAGAGCGGCUGCCUCCUGUCCUUGAGUUAAUUCAGUCAGCUCAGCAGCUUCAGUGUUUAAACCAGCAGGAGAUUCGGGGGUGGGAGGGGCUGUGAGCAGGCAGGGCGGGGGGGCAGCAGUGCCGCUCACGUCUGGCCCUGUGGGCCUGGUCUCAGCCCCCCUGAAUGGCCAGCAGCAUCACUGUCCCUGCUGAACCCCAGGGCUUCAA